AAUGCCGUCGUGUGUGAAGGAAGGCCUUCGGGUUGUAAAGCACUUUUGUCCGGAAAGAAAUUCCUUGGGCUCUAAUACAGUCGGGGGGAAUGACCGGUACCGGAAGAAUUAAGGCACCGGGCUAAACUACGUGCCAGGCAGCCGCGGGUAAAUACGUAGGGGUGCGAGCGUUAAUCGGAAUUUACUGGGCGUAAAGCGUGCGCAGGCGGUUUGCUAAGACCGAUGUGAAAUCCCCGGGCUCAACCUGGGAACUGCAUUGGUGACUGGCAGGCUAGAGUAUGGCAGAGGGGGGGUAGAAUUCCACGUGUAGCAGUGAAAUGCGUAGAGAUGUGGAGGAAUACCGAUGGCGAAGGCAGCCCCCUGGGCCAAUACUGACGCUCAUGCACGAAAGCGUGGGGAGCAAACAGGAUUAGAUACCCUGGUAGUCCACGCCCUAAACGAUGUCAACUAGUUGUUGGGGAUUCAUUUCCUUAGUAACGUAGCUAACGCGUGAAGUUGACCGCCUGGGGAGUACGGUCGCAAGAUUAAAACUCAAAGGAAUUGACGGGGACCCGCACAAGCGGUGGGAUGAUGUGGAUUAAUUUCGAUGCAACGCGAAAAACCUUUACCCUACUCCUUGACAUGGUCGGGAAAUCCCCGCUGAGAGGUGGGAGUGCUCGAAAGAAGAACCGGCGCCACAGGUGCUGGCAUGGCUGUCGUCAGCUCGUGUCGUGGAGAUGUUGGGUUAAGUCCCGCAAACCGAGCGCCAACCCUAUGAUCCCUUAGUUGCUACGCAAGAGCACUCUAAGGAGACUGCCGGUGACAAACCGGAGGAAGGUGG
rnacentral:rRNA from 1 species